UGAAAAAACCGAAUUUUCAAAGUCUCCAACCGAAGAGUGCUCUCGUGUCACCCUAUUUCCCCCUAAUCUCCCGCGAAAAUCUCUCUUUCUCUCUCUAAUAUCACUCCUUACACUUAGAAAAAGAAGAAUUGAAGGAAAAGACAGAACGAAAUGAAAUGAAAGACCCGAACCCGAUCCCUCAUGUCGGACCCUCAGCAAGACCCGGCUUCGACGUCGUCUCCAUCAUCUUCAACCGCCACCACUCCACUUUCCUUACUAUCCAAGCUCCGGAAAAUCCCACGCAUCCCAACCCGACGUCGUUCAUCGAAGCAUGAUCAAUCCGAAAACGAAAACGAAGAUGAAGAAGAAGAGGAAGAAGAAGAAGAAGAAGGUGAUCAAAACGAUGGCGUAUUGGACCCCGGUAAUGGUGAGAGAGAUUCGGCGGAGCCGAUUUUGGAACCGUCGUCGUUGGGGCUUAAUCACAUUCGAACUCGCUCAUCUCAUUCGCCGCUGCGAUUCACGUCGUUGAACGACGAUGCUCCUCCGACAACAACGACGACGACGACGGCGGCGUCGGCGGCUGCUUCAGGCACCUCCGAGUCCAACAUGUCUAAGAUCCCGAUCACGAUCCCGAUCAAAUCGGUCUUUUCUCGCCACCCUGCCAUGUUAAACUCAGACCAACAAAUUCGGAAAAAGGUUCAUUGGAGUGAAACUAGAGCGAUGAGAGCGCCAUCGCCACUCAAUCUAGGGCUCAGUUUAGGGUUUGAGGUUAAUCAUGCAUCAGCAUUUGCCAAGGAAAUACAUUCGCCUCGUUUCCAAGCGAUACUGCGCGUGACGAGUGGGCGUAAGAAUAGAAAUCAUGAUAUCAAGAGCUUCUCUCAUGAGCUCAACUCCAAAGGAGUUCGUCCAUUUCCGAUUUGGAAGUCUCGCGCAUUCGGCUACGUGGAGGAGAUUAUGGUGGCAGUAAGGGCAAAGUUUGACAAGUUAAAGCAAGAGGUUAAUUCUGAUUUAGGUGCGUAUGCUGGAGACAUGGUGGGUAUGCUUGAUAAGACCUCAGAGUCUCACCCUGAAUGGAAGGAGGGGUUGGAGGAUUUGUUGGUGGUUGCUCAGCGCUGUGCAAAGAUGCCAUCUACUGAAUUUUGGGUGAAGUGUGAAGGAAUUGUACAGAAUUUGGAUGACCGGAGACAGGAGCUACCAAUGGGGAUCCUCAAACAAGCACAUACCCGCCUACUUUUUAUCCUCACUCGUUGCACCCGGCUUGUGCAGUUCCAGAAAGAGAGUGGUUUUGAAGAAGAUCACAUCCUGGGACUUCAUCAGUGCAGUGAUCUUGGAGAGUAUUCAGCUACACAGCCGGACUUUAGUGGGCCAUUUAAUGUGAAGGAGUUGAGUAAGAAGCAGGCAAAGAAUUCUAAUGGGCAGGAAAAAGGAAGUCAGAUUAAGAAGAAAGGUCAAGCAGAACAAGACACCAGUAAUGGAGCUGAUGAGGUGGAAGUCAACACUGCCAGGAGUAAUGAUUCAGCUUCAAGUGGCUAUAGAAUGUCAUCUUGGAAGAAACUUCCUGGUGCUGCUGGGAAAAAUAAAAAGGGCUAUGAUGCUCUUGAGUCACCCUCAAAGACGGGUGAGCUGCAAAUUAAAGAUGAAAAAAAAACUGGUGGUGAGGAGGGUAUUGAAAAUCUGGAUACUCUGCCUUGCCACCCUGAACAGUCAGAGGCUUCUGCAGGGUUACAGAGAGUCAAUCUCUGGGAUCAGCAAAAUGUUGCAUAUGAGGAUUUGAUGAUCUGUCGUAUUUGUGAGGUAGAAAUACCAACUGUGCAUGUAGAACAGCACUCUCAAAUAUGUACAAUUGCUGAUAGAUGUGACUUGAAAGGCUUAACUGUUAAUGAACGGCUUGAAAGAGUUGCUGAGACUCUUGAAAAGAUCCUGGAAUCUUGGACUGCAAAGAGCACGCCUAGAAGCACUGAUAGUCCAAGAGGAUCUUUUGAGGUUGCUAGAGAGUCUACAUUAAGUACGCAUUACUUAGAUGAUAUGUCACCUAAUAAGCCAAAUAGCUUGGCUUGUAUAUUCUCUGAAGGUGUGCUUGACUGUGUCCCUGAUGCUGAUAAUAACCUUGUCAUAGAUGACCGAUGCGCGAAAGCCUCAUCAGGAGGAACCUUGACACCGCGAUCACCAUUAUUAACACCACGAACCAACCAGAUUGAAUUGCUUUUGAAUGGAUGGAGUGCUUUAUCAGAGCAUGAGAAUUAUCAGCAGAUAAACAAGUUGCUGGAUAUUGCUCGUUCUGUUGCAAAUGUAAAUAAUUGUGACUACGUUGCAUUGGAGUGUAUGAUUGACAAGCUGGAAGAACUAAAAUAUGCCAUCCAGGACAGAAAGGUGGAUGCCCUUGUUGUAGAGACUUUUGGAAGACGUAUAGAGAAACUAUUGCAGGAAAAAUAUGUACAUCUUUGUGGGCAGAUAGACGAUGAAAAAGUAGACUCAAAUGGCAUGGUUGAUGAAGAAAGUUCCGUGGAAGAUGAUACAGGUCGCAGUUUACGCACAAGCCCUAUUAAUCAAUCUUCUAAGGAUCGGACAUCGAUAGAAGAUUUUGAAAUAAUAAAACCAAUUAGUAGGGGGGCAUUUGGACGAGUUUUUCUUGCCCGGAAAAGAGCAACUGGUGACUUAUUUGCUAUAAAGGUUUUAAAGAAGGCUGACAUGAUCCGUAAAAAUGCGGUUGAAAGUAUUUUGGCGGAGCGUAACAUCCUUAUAUCAGUUCGCAAUCCUUUUGUGGUCCGGUUUUUCUACUCCUUCACAUGCAGGGAAAAUCUAUAUUUGGUCAUGGAGUAUAUAAAUGGUGGAGAUCUCUACUCUUUGUUGAGAAAUUUAGGCUGCUUGGAUGAAGACAUGGCCCGUGUUUAUAUUUCAGAAAUUGUUCUUGCUUUGGAGUACCUGCACUCUUUAAAUGUUAUUCAUAGAGACUUGAAGCCUGACAAUUUGUUGAUUGGUCAAAAUGGUCACCUCAAGUUGACAGAUUUUGGGCUUUCAAAGGUUGGCCUUAUGAAUAGCACAGAUGACCUAUCAGGUCCACCAGAUAGCAGUACAAGUUUUUUUGGAGAUGAUGAACCAAAGAGUGAAACUUCAUCAAAAAGAGAACAGCGCCAAAAACAAGCAGUUGUGGGCACCCCUGAUUAUUUGGCACCUGAGAUACUUCUUGGCAUGGGACAUGGUGCAACUGCAGAUUGGUGGUCUGUGGGUGUUAUCCUUUAUGAGAUGCUUGUGGGUAUUCCACCAUUCAAUGCUGAACAUCCACUGCAAAUUUUUGACAAUAUAAUAAACAGAGAUAUACAUUGGCCAAAGAUACCUGAAGAGAUGAGCUAUGAAACACAUGAUUUGAUUAACAAAUUGCUGACUGAAAAUCCAGUUCAAAGACUAGGAGCAACUGGAGCCAAGGAGGUGAAGCAACAUCCUUUCUUCAAGGAUAUAAACUGGGAUACACUUGCCAGGCAGAAGGCUAUGUUCAUACCAACAGCAGAAGGACAUGAUACAAGUUAUUUUAUGAGCCGGUACAUAUGGAAUAUAGAAGAUGAUCAUGUCACUGGAGGUAGUGACUUUGAUGAUUUGACUGAAACAUGCAGCAGCGGAUCAUACAACAACGAACAUGAUGAAUAUGGUGACGAAUGUGGUAUUUUGGCAGAUUUCAAUGGCCCAAACCUUGCGGUGAAGUACUCAUUUAGUAAUUUCUCAUUCAAGAACUUGUCUCAGCUGGCUUCUAUCAAUUUCGAUCUGGUUGUGAAGAGCUCCAAGGAAUCGCUAGACAAUUAGUACAUAAUGCAGUUUUUUGACAAGGAGGAAAGUCUCCAAGUUGAAAAGAUCAUGAAAAGGCUCAUCUUGUCUGAUAUGGCUUUUAUUUCUUGAAUAGUAAUUGUUCUUUCUGAAGACAAAGAUAGGUCUAAGUCUCAAUUCAUGCUAACCAGCUUAUUGUUGGACACUAGAAGCCGGAGAUAUAAAUGAUUAAAUUCAAGAGAACCAUGAAGUUGAAACCAGAAGUAGUGUGGAAAUUCGUUGUUAUGAAUGAAUUAAGGGGCACUGCACACACCAUGGGGUUUGAGCUAAGGCUGGUUAUUCUACUUAUCCCAGAAAAGAAUGAUAUAACUAAUGACGAUGUUAAGUGGUGAAGAUGCAAUAGACCCAACUUCAGUUCUCAUGGGCUGAGAGAUUUGUUUUUACCUGCCCCAUCAUAUAACUAAUUAGCAACAACUUGCUCCAUAUCAUACAUUCUCUGUAAUAUGAUUUCUUAGAUUGUUUGCAGUAGGCAAAGGAAGAAAUGACAUCAUUUGAGAAGGGAAAAAAAGGGAAGAAAUCAAUUGGGAAAUUGAUUUGAUUUCAAUAAGUCCUAUUGGAAAGAGGGUUGAAAUUGUAGAACACUCUGUCUUGAACAGAUUACAGUAGGAUAUAGAACAUGAGAAAUUAUUUCGUAUACCCGGUUUACUAUGUCUUCUUCUUACAUAAAAGUAGAUCUCAUGUAUAUUAUGUAUAUUACGA